UUGAACGCUGGCGGCAGGCCUAACACAUGCAAGUCGAGCGGCAGCGCGGGGCAACCUGACGGCGAGCGGCGGACGGGUGAGUAACGCGUAGGAAUCUACCCAGUAGCGGGGGAUAGCCCGGGGAAACUCGGAUUAAUACCGCAUACGCCCUAAGGGGGAAAGCAGGGGAUCGUAAGACCUUGCACUAUUGGAAGAGCCUGCGUUGGAUUAGCUAGUUGGUAGGGUAAAGGCCUACCAAGGCGACGAUCCAUAACUGGUCUGAGAGGAUGAUCAGUCACACCGGAACUGGGACACGGUGCGGACUCCUACGGGAGGCAGCAGUGGGGAAUAUUGGACAAUGGGGGCAACCCUGAUCCAGCCAUGCCGCGUGUGUGAAGAAGGCCUUCGGGUUGUAAAGCACUUUAAGUGGGGAGAAAGGUUCGCCGGCUAAUACCCGGCGGAAGUGAUGUUACCCACAGAAUAAGCACCGGCUAACUCUGUGCCAGCCGCCGCCGUAAGAC
rnacentral:rRNA from 1 species